GAAAAGAAACCAACAGGGAUUGCCUCAGUAACGGCGAGUGAAGCGGCAAAAGCUCAAAUUUGAAAUCUAGCACUUUCAGUGUUCGAGUUGUAAUUUGAAGAAGGUAACUUUGGUUUUGGCUCUUGUCUAUGUUCCUUGGAACAGGACGUCACAGAGGGUGAGAAUCCCGUGCGAUGAGAUGCCCAAUUCCAUGUAAAGUGCUUUCGAAGAGUCGAGUUGUUUGGGAAUGCAGCUCUAAGUGGGUGGUAAAUUCCAUCUAAAGCUAAAUAUUGGCGAGAGACCGAUAGCGAACAAGUACAGUGAUGGAAAGAUGAAAAGAACUUUGAAAAGAGAGUGAAAAAGUACGUGAAAUUGUUGAAAGGGAAGGGCUUGAGAUCAGACUUGGUAUUUUGCGUUCCCUUCCUUUUUGGUUGGGUUCCUCGCAGUUUACUGGGCCAGCAUCGGUUUGGAUGGUAGGAUAAUGACAUUGGAAUGUAGCUUUACUUCGGUGAAGUGUUAUAGACUUUGUUGAUACUGCCUAUCUAGACCGAGGACUGCGUCUUUGACUAGGAUGCUGGCGUAAUGAUCUUAAGCCGCCCGUC
rnacentral:rRNA from 1 species